rnacentral:lncRNA from 1 species
AGAAUGGUUCUGAACUUUGCAGUGGGAGCAAUAGAUUGGCAGUGUUUCAUAUUCAAUUUUUUGCUCAAAAGUCUCUUCUUCACCAGAAAGAUUUCUUACUUCUACUCUCACUGUAUGGAUCAGAGGUUUUGCAAGAUCAAUUUGAACUCUUAACUUUGCUGUGGUUGGUCUUGUUUUCGUAGUCGUCGUUUUAUCCAUGAUCAACGGGACCCCUAUGGGAUCCACAAUUCUACAAAGGGCGUCCCAUUCAUAGUAAUGCCAAGGUAAAUCCGGGAGAUUUAUCCACACAGGUGCUGUUAUGAUCUCGAAUUCAAAUGGAAAAGAAAAUAAUCAACACAAUAGUUUUUGGGAUUUUCUGAUUUAUAACUGGAAAAUUGAAAACAAGGAUAUCUACUAAAUGGAAUUAAAACUACAUUUAACAGAAACUAACUGAAGAACUCGCCAUAGCCAUAAGGACCUGCAGAUUUAGAUGAGAAAAGAAUUUAGAAGGAGAUUGAAAAGAAGAGAAGAGAAGAGAGUCUAUUAGAAGAGAGAGAGAGGAGCACGAGAAUAAUACCAAUUUGAUCAAAUGCCCCUUUUGCUCUUCCAGGAACUUAGUUAUAGGAUGCUCACGUGCAAUCACAGCCCUUCAACUUCAUUAACUCCAAUUAAAUCUCGUACGUCUAGGUGUUAUAAUUCUAUUCGUCAUUUCUUUAUUCUUCACUUAGCUCAUUUAUUCAGGUCAUGACAUUCCCGCCCGGAUCAAACAAUCCUUGACCCCAAGGAUGAUUAUCAAAAAUUUGUCCCGUCCAGGUUCAUUACAAUCCUUCCUGCUUGAAAUCAACAUUGUCCUCAAGGUUGUUGUCCACACCCGCAUAUCAAAAACCAAAAUCAUCAGAUUAUUUCUCGCUAGAAUUCCUAAGGUAAUAUGCCUAUUUGCUGUGAACACUUCUCUCGCAAAAGCUUCAAUUAAAGACUUGGAUUGAUUGACCUUUGCUAUCAUUGUGUCCCUUAUAUCACGAAGCAAAGAUAGGCUAGUACUUUUUCUCAGUAUUGUUUCCAUUUUAGUCUGCAGCUCCGCUAUUCUGUCAAAGAGCUUUUCAGCCUCUGUUGUAGAGAUGUGGAGCUGCUUUUGGAGGUCAACGCUUCCAAGACAACCCAGUGGAAUUUCAGUGCGACAUGGUGCAAAUAAGCCCACAAAUAUUUGACCCUCAGAAUGUACAUGAAUAUGCUUUUUGGAAUUUUCCGCAAAUGGCAAGGAAAACACACAUUUUGCAAUAUUUGAUAGGCAUAAAUGUUCUCAAAGUAUCUCAAAAUCAUUCCAGUGGCACAAAGAAAAAGCAUUAUAAGCUGAUAGUAAAAUUCCUGUUGUAUACUUGGGAAUACCAGAUGUAGAAAUGACCAAGUUGUGCUCAGAGUCACUCAAAGAACAAUGCUUCUUUAAAAAAGAUAUGCCCGGAUCAAAUUGAAAUAGAUGUGAAAAACCUCGAGUUUCAGGUGUUGUAGCAAUCAAGAAAUACAAUUUCUUACCAUGGAAACAACACUCCACUUCCUUAGUGUUAAGAAUAGACCAACAAAAGUUGCCUAGUUGCUGAUGUAAAAGGUGUAGUGCAAGUUUCUCCAUCAACAGAAAAACUAUAUAAGCAAUAUUUGAGCUGACUUCGCUUUCAUACACUCGACUCCAAGAGAGAAUAGGGAAGAAUGAUGUCACAUAUCCUGUGAAGAGCAUGUGUGCUGAUGUAAAAUAUUGAAAUGUUUUAUUUUUAUAGGAUGCAACCCAGCAGCUUCCUUCUCCAGGCCAAUCGACAUACCACCUGGGUCAAAAGUCAAAUACAAACCAUACACCAUUGUUCUUACUGUUGCAGCUCCAUCUCUUAGUUUAGCAGAGUCGUUGGUGUUUGAUAAAAGGAUAUGUAGGCCAACCACAUCAACUAUAGAUGUACCCCUCGCAUAUUCAACUUUCCAAAAUGUACCCAGGCUGAAUGCCCCUAAUUUAACUUCAGUUUUGGUUGACCAAUUCACUUGCAGCCCUGUUCGAGUAAUUUGUAACCAUGUAGCUUUGCCAUCUUUAAGUCUAUUACCGAAGUUAAAAGCACCAGAAUAUAUUGCAACAAGGAGGAUAAAACCAAAUGACCAAGGCUGACAUUGUCUACAGACAUGUUGUUCUGCCAAAUAAGCCUUUACUCUAGCAGUCGACAAGUUUCUAGCCAUGACUGAACCUCUUCUUUGAGAAGCUUUCCGAAUUGUACACCCAUCAACUGACCAAUAAUGUAUAGACAAAUAAAUUGUGGCUAUCCUUUUAGAGUCAUCAUGCAAGGUUAAUGGCAAAAUAGAGCUCCAAAAUAACAUAAUCUUCUUACUGGACGAUGUUGUUACGUGUAAAGAGAGACUUCUUGUACCACUGUAAACAUGGCUAUAUGUUGGAAUGGUAGCAACUGAACAUAUAGAAUCAAUAUGGACAACAGGAGAAUGCAUAAACCACUGCCAUCCCGUAUCCCACACUCGGUUGAUGUUAUCAGAAGAUCUAUGCAAACAAACCAUGCUAGUCAUAUCUAUCAAAAUUUCUCGAACAUUACUUGUGUGACCAGUUAACUUCAAGGUCUUCAAACUUAUCCCUGGAUCCCAUAUGGGAACAACCAGUCCAUUUCCAACUAAUUCAAGAGAUAACUUGGUCUUAAUUCCUACGAAUACAUGUACUAUGCGGACAUGAUUCCUUUCAGACAUUUCAUCAAACAAGUGGGAAGCAACUCUUAGUUUCAUUUCCUUCAAUUUCUCGUUCAUUACUACAUAUCUAGAGACUCGUCUACUAACCCAAAAAACCUCACCAAUUUGUUGCAAAUUUAACUCAUGAGCGAGAAAGUAGACAGAUGUUUUACCUGCUAUUUCAACCUUCACAGUUGUCAUGAUAAACUUGAUCUUUGCCAUUUUUUGAAUUUGUAAAGGUGCAAUUGAAAUAGCUUCUAUGGUUCGCUUCUCUGCCUCAAUUUUGAUAGAGUCGUUCAACGCAUUGCUCUUCUCCAUCACCUCAUCAAAACAAAAGUAACAAUGGCAAUCAAUGCUGCGUAUGCAACCAUAGAGGCAAGAGUUACAAUCACAAUCAAUGCUGCAUAUGCAAUCCUCGUACUUCUGCAAUUGCUUAACAUUCACAACUAUUCCAGUCACUCCUUCCGUAGCCAAAGUAUUAUAUGACACCGCCAACCUCUUUUUUGAUUCCUGGAACAUCUUCAUCGAAUUACUACCCACAGUCGAGAUAGGUUCGUUGCUCUGAUACCAAUUGUUAUGAUCUCGAAUUCAAAUGGAAAAGAAAAUAAUCAACACAAUAGUUUUUGGGAUUUUCUGAUUUAUAACUGGAAAAUUGAAAACAAGGAUAUCUACUAAAUGGAAUUAAAACUACAUUUAACAGAAACUAACUGAAGAACUCGCCAUAGCCAUAAGGACCUGCAGAUUUAGAUGAGAAAAGAAUUUAGAAGGAGAUUGAAAAGAAGAGAAGAGAAGAGAGUCUGUUAGAAGAGAGAGAGAGGAGCACGAGAAUAAUACCAAUUUGAUCAAAUGCCCCUUUUGCUCUUCCAGGAACUUAGUUAUAGGAUGCUCACGUGCAAUCACAGCCCUUCAACUUCAUUAACUCCAAUUAAAUCUCGUACGUCCAGGUGUUAUAAUUCUAUUCGUCAUUUCUUUUUUCUUCACUUAGCUCAUUUAUUCAGGUCAUGACAGGUGCUAAAGAAUUUUCAGCAUUCGGUUUGAAAUUUGGGGUCCAUUUCAAAAUCUUCAUAUCAACAUCAUCAUUUAAGGCAAUAGAAUCUCUGGAAAAGAUAUCAUUGAAGUCUUCUUCAUUUUCAAC